rnacentral:tRNA from 1 species
GCGGGUGUAGCUCAGGGGUAGAGCAUCUCGUUGCCAUCGAGAAGGCCAUGGGUUCGAAUCCCAUUAUCCGCUCCA